CACAGUUUUAAAGCCCUAAUCACAACCACAGUGACCCUGGUGGAAUCCACUAACAUGGACUAUUUCACACUUUAAUAUGUAUUCCUGCUAAUAGGAUUCUUCAUCUGUGUGUACAAUACUGUUUGCAAUUAUUUAAGAGACAAAGUUAACUCCCAGAAUGUUAUGCACAAUUACAUACAGGACGUAGCUCAAAAUGAAGCACAAUUUGAAUCCUAGAAAUGUUUGCAACUCUGGUGAAGGUAUGACAAAUGUAUAAUUAUUAUAAUGCACUGUAUUGAUAACGCCAAUUACGAUGACUUGAUGCUUGAAGACAACAUUGAAGGGCGAUGGACCCAUUUAUAAGAGGUUUGUGUUUUAUCAGUCAGUAUUUGGGUGUAACACCGGAAGGUGACCGGAUGUUGUCAUAUUACAGCUAUAUCGUCAUUAGCUCUACCUCUCUCUCUCUUUUCUGGUGACCGUUGGAGGAGUAACAUCUCCCCGUCCCGGGCUCUCGUUAUGUAGCCGCUAACUGCUGUUUAUUGUCCCUGAAGAAGACCUAAACCUGGUCGAAACGUUGGAUGUACAGUAAGAUGAUUCUCAUGUUUUGUCGGACUCAAGAAAAAUAAACGGCAAAGAACAACCCUUUCUCCGUUUUGUUUGCUAAUAGCUAAGUCAUGCUGGAGCUAAAUGCUAAUGCUAAGCGGGCCUACAAGCUAACUGAGGCUACCGCUAGCGAGUCCAUAGACAUUGAGGCGAACUACGCACAACAUGAGGCGAACGCGAACGCGGCACGAGAUAUGAUGAUGCAAUAACAUCGAAGCACGGGGGCUGGAGAGGAGAGAGACGACGCACACGCGAUGACCUGCCAACCGAGCCACGCCGCAGAGACCGCUCCAGGUGCAGCGUCAGCUAAGCUACAACACGGCUGCUGAUGAAGGAGGCUGAAGUUGCUUGGGAGUCCGAGGCAGGACCCUGUGGUCUUCUCUGGACCGUCCUGCGUGGAAUCACAGAACUACUUUACCCAACCGGAAUGUUUUCCGAACAUUGAUUGCAGUUUCCCUGUAUGAGCAAAAAGCUGCCAAAUUUAAAUUAAGCAGCUAAAGGAGGGUGGCAUAGUUCAGGACAUCCAACCACAUUUUAGAAGAUACAGUUAACACAUUAUGCAACAGUCAGGCUCUUGACAGUUUGAAAACGAAUGUUUUAUUAGACCCGUCACACAGCCUGCAUGACAAGCAUUACAUAUCAAAAACUACUGUUACUAACUAACUCUUACCGUUCACUUCAAAUCACUAAAGACUGCGGGUAAUUUCCACCGUCACAGGAGGUUGAAACUCCUCGACCACUUCUGGGGAUCCUCAAGGCAGGAGCCUGUUGUAUUCUCUGGACCGUCCUGUGUGGAAUCACAACCCAUUCUGAAAAAUCUUUGAAACAGACAAGAUGGCAUCUUCUUGCCCAUAGUAUUGCUAAAUAACAUUAGCCUAACACAUUGGCCAACAGCAAAUAGUUAAACCGCAGCUAAAGGAUCCAAAUAGUUCUUCAUGACAGGCCACAACACUCAGGCAUUCUUUACAGUUAGAAAGACCUUUUAUUAGGGCCAUUACAGCUUGUACGACAAGAAUUACAUUAAAAAAAAAUACCUUGACGAAGAGCCCAGGCCUCACCCAUCUUCUCCCUCUCCUCUAGAAUACAUUGACAUUCUAUCAAUUCACUGCCAAGAUUACAUUCCAGGUACACAGUAAAUUUGACUGAAAUUGGAGUACGUUGCAACACUAAGCCAGUAAACAUAAGGUCUUAACCUACAGUGUUGGGGUUACACUGAAGUGUACAGCACUAUGGGCGGCUGUGGGUGAGUGGGGAGCAGGUACUCCUCCAAUCAGAGGGGUUGUGGGUUUGAUCCCAGUCCUGGCUAACCCGCAUGUCGAUGUGUCCUUGGGCAAGACACUUAACCCAACAUUGCUCCUGUAGCUGUGAUUACAGCGUAUGAAUGUUACUGAUGGGCAGGUGUCACUGUAUGGUUUUCCUGUCAUCAGUGUAUGAAUGAGGUCAUGUAGUGUUAAAGCGCUUUGAGUGGUCGGAAGACUAGAAAAGCGCUAUAU
ensembl:lncRNA